UACGGAGGAUGCAAGCGUUAUCCGGAUUUAUUGGGUUUAAAGGGUGCGUAGGCGGCGCGUUAAGCGUGAGGUGAAAGCUCGGGGCUCAACCCCGGAACUGCCUCGCGAACUGGCGUGCUUGAAUGCUCCUGCCGUGGGAGGAAUGUGUGGUGUAGCGGUGAAAUGCAUAGAGAUCACACAGAACACCGAUUGCGAAGGCAUCUCACGAAGGGGUGAUUGACGCUGAGGCACGAAAGCGUGGGGAU
rnacentral:rRNA from 1 species